GGGGAUUUAGCUCAGUGGUAGAGCGCUUGCCUAGCAAGUGCAAAGUCCUGGGUUCAGUCCUCA
rnacentral:tRNA from 1 species